GGGCACGAACCGCGUUCCCUGCAUCGGCAGGCGGACUCUCAACCACUGCGCCACCAGGGAAGCCCAGGAUUACUGUUUUAAUACAGUGUCUAUUUACAUUCUCCAAAAGAGGAUUAGAGGAUUCCUCAUAACAAUUUAGGAAAUGCUACCUAUGCCAUGCCGUUAUUGCUAAGUGCUACAGAAAGUAAUUAUUUACACAUAAUCCCUACAAUUAACAUUAUGCAGCACUGAUGCUGAAACACAGGAUAAUCAACCCGUGGCAAACAUCAUCUGUCAUUCUAAAGCUCAGCCAUGAGCUGUGCAUCUAAAAAUGCAGACUGAGGAUUCAUGGAUGACAAAAACCUGGUACCUGUCCUGGAGGAGCCCAAGUCAAAGGCCUGGACCUAAAGAAGAAGCUGGUGACAAAGGGGAGAAAUUGGGCUGAAUGGAAGAGACUUUUCAGAGCUCACACAUGAAGCUGAUGGACCACGCAGCACCCAGGAGGUAGUGUCCCACUGGGUCCUGGAAGGUCAUUUGGACAUUUGAGGCUUAAAACAAGUACUCUCCACUUUUCCCUCUCUGUGGCAACUCUCUUCCUAGUGGCUUCUUGUUAACACUCGAAACAACUGAAACCCUUCCAAGGUCUGGGUCAGGUUUGUUUGGGGUCACAUCUUCCUCAGUUUCUGUACCUAACAGAUCGGUGUUAAUUCUUUGCUGAAAGCCCUGCAAGGAUCAAGAUUUCCCAGUAUCUUCCCUGUAGACUCAUCUCAGGGUCUCCCAUACUUUCAUAGUCAGGGAGACACCCCAUGUCUCCCACCUAAAGCCGAGCUCAGGGUUCUUUGUUCAGAUUUUAGAAACAAGGAUGAGGACAGGAGGUCAGUUGUGAUAUUAGAGUUAUGGCAUCACAGGAGGCUGGAACUCAAGAUGGGCAGAGAAGCUUUUGAGCACUGCUCUAGGCUAAACUGUCUGAAGCUCUGAGUAUGUACAGAUUUAAUAAUGGUUAGUUCUUUAGUCAUAUAGUAAAAAAUUAUUUCACUCGAGAGAACAAAGGAUUCCUAAGAAGUGUCUUAAAACUGUAGUGGUGGCCAUUUUUGAAUUCUCUUUUCUGCCCUUUUUUUUUUAAAAAAGAUUUUUUUUGUUGUAGACCAUCUUCAAAGUCUUUAUUGAAUUUGUCACAAUAUUGCUCCUGUUCUAUGCCUUGGUUCCUUGACCCUGAGGCUCCCAGCUCCCCAACCAGGCAUCCAACCCUCACCCCCACACACUGGAAGGUGGAGUCCCAACCACUGGACUGCCAGGGAAGUCCCUUUCCUCACUUCUUAAGCUACACACAAGUGAUGUGAAAGCACGACACAGGCAUAAGUUGGGGAGAUGUGGCUGGAACCUCUUUGACCUGGGACCAAGCAACACUUAAGUAUGAAAUUUUCCUCGUCAUGGAUACUUGAAACAAAUGCCUUCCUUCUUGGUCCUCAUUGCUAAAGAAUUAUGGCUAUAGGGACUAUAAUUACCAUCUGGCCCAGAUCUCCUGCCAGAUCUUCCUUACAGCCAGUCUGUGCCAACUAUAACAACCUUUUGUAAGAAGGAGGUUCCACAGACACUGAGGAAAACUGUUUCAAAUGACUAACAGCCCACACUUAAAGAAAAUUUCAUUUCCUCCAAUUUGCAGAAGGGAAAAGUCACAGGAAAGCACAUGACAUGGUCAAAGUAGAUUCAGCCAAAGAGGUUUUUACCUACCUGCAGUUCUGUUAUUAAGUUUGGAUCAUGGAUGGGUCCCUCUAAGGCCCUCCCUUGUCUUAUCCCAUUUUCUCUCUACUGUUGGAGAAGAGAAGAGCCCAGUCCUCUUGACUGUGUUUCAGGUGUGUGUUCUCAUGUCUCCAAAUAGAUUGGGAGAUUUGGGAUAGCAGAGACCACACUGUUUCAGCUCAGCCACUAACUUGUUGGAUAAUUUUUUUUUUUUUGCAGUACGCGGGCCUCUCACUGUUGUGGCCUCUCCCGUUGCGGA